rnacentral:rRNA from 1 species
UACGGGGGGGGCAAGCGUUGUUCGGAAUUACUGGGCGUAAAGGGCUCGUAGGCGGCCCACUAAGUCCGACGUGAAAUCCCCAGGCUUAACUUGGGAACUGCGUCGGAUACUGGUGGGCUUGAAUCCGGGAGAGGGAUGCGGAAUUCCAGGUGUAGCGGUGAAAUGCGUAGAUAUCUGGAGGAACACCGGUGGCGAAGGCGGCAUCCUGGACCGGUAUUGACGCUGAGUGAGCGAAAGCGUGGGGAGCGAACAGG